rnacentral:rRNA from 1 species
AGAGUUUGAUCCUGGCUCAGAUUGAACGCUGGCGGGAUGCCUUACACAUGCAAGUCGAACGGCAGCACGGACUUCGGUCUGGUGGCGAGUGGCGAACGGGUGAGUAAUGUAUCGGAACGUGCCCAGUAGCGGGGGAUAACUACGCGAAAGCGUAGCUAAUACCGCAUACGCCCUACGGGGGAAAGCGGGGGAUCGCAAGACCUCGCACUAUUGGAGCGGCCGAUAUCGGAUUAGCUAGUUGGUGGGGUAACGGCUCACCAAGGCGACGAUCCGUAGCUGGUUUGAGAGGACGACCAGCCACACUGGGACUGAGACACGGCCCAGACUCCUACGGGAGGCAGCAGUGGGGAAUUUUGGACAAUGGGGGCAACCCUGAUCCAGCCAUCCCGCGUGUGCGAUGAAGGCCUUCGGGUUGUAAAGCACUUUUGGCAGGAAAGAAACGGCGCCGGAUAAUACCUGGCGUAACUGACGGUACCUGCAGAAUAAGCACCGGCUAACUACGUGCCAGCAGCCGCGGUAAUACGUAGGGUGCAAGCGUUAAUCGGAAUUACUGGGCGUAAAGCGUGCGCAGGCGGUUCGGAAAGAAAGAUGUGAAAUCCCAGGGCUUAACCUUGGAACUGCAUUUUUAACUACCGGGCUAGAGUGUGUCAGAGGGGGGUGGAAUUCCACGUGUAGCAGUGAAAUGCGUAGAUAUGUGGAGGAACACCGAUGGCGAAGGCAGCCCCCUGGGAUAACACUGACGCUCAUGCACGAAAGCGUGGGGAGCAAACAGGAUUAGAUACCCUGGUAGUCCACGCGGUAAACGAUGGAUGCUCGCUGUUUGCGUCUGACGUAAGCGGCCAAGCGAAAGCGUUAAGCAUCCCACCUGGGGAGUACGCCGGCAACGGUGAAACUCAAAGGAAUUGACGGGGGCCCGCACAAGCGGAGGAACAUGUGGUUUAAUUCGAUGAUACGCGAGGAACCUUACCCGGGCUUGAACUGCAGGCGAACGAUUCAGAGAUGAUGAGGCCCUUCGGGGCGCCUGUGGAGGUGCUGCAUGGUUGUCGUCAGCUCGUGCCGUGAGGUGUCGGCUUAAGUGCCAUAACGAGCGCAACCCUUGUUCGUAGUUGCCAUCGGGUUAUGCCGGGCACUCUGCGAAGACUGCCUCCGUAAGGAGUGAGGAAGGUGGGGAUGACGUCAAAUCAGCACGGCCCUUACGUUCGGGGCUACACACGUGUUACAAUGGCAUGUACAGAAAGCUGGGUGUAUGCAAAUACGCUCGAAUCCCUAAAACAUGUCUCAGUUCGGACUGGGGUCUGCAACCCGACCCCACGAAGCUGGAUUCGCUAGUAAUCGCGCAUCAGCCAUGGCGCGGUGAAUACGUUCCCGGGCCUUGUACACACCGCCCGUCAAGCCAUGAAAGCCGGGGGCGCCUAAAGUCCGUGACCGCGAGGGUCGGCCUAGGGUGAAACCGGUGAUUGGGGCUAAGUCGUAACAAGGUAACCGUA